ACAACGGCCACUCGCGCGCAAGGAUCGAUCGUGAAAGACGGGUACUCGCUCAAGCGCUCCUCCGCGAGAUCAUGGAGCCGACGAGCUGCAUCGGUCGAGGCUGAUAAGAUCGACAAUCAAGUUCACGUCCGAGCGCUUGGCAGAAUUCGAAGCGGCCCUUCUGCGAGACAUACGGCAGAAUUGGCAGGUCUUCCCUCUCUGUCUGCUCAACCACAGGUGGAGGAACGACCAUUGGCAGCCAGUAGUUAGCGAUGUGGCUGAAAUGCAGCGAAUUACGGACGCCGCUCAAGAGCCGAAGGUAAACAAAUGUCUGGCGACUCUGCGGCCUUUCGUUCCUGACGAGAGCGGAAAAUGACGAAGGUGAAAAACCAUAGGAAAAUCGUGUUCGGAAAGUUUACACUAAUGCCUCGAUAGCGUGCAAUUUCGCGAGAAUGCGCGGCAGCUUAUCUCUCUCUCUCUCUCUCUCUCUCUCUCUCUCUCUCUCUCUCUCUCUCUCUCUCUCUCUCUCUCUCUCUCUGUCUCUCGGUGUCUGUCUCGCUCUGCAAAGAGGCAAUGGUCGGGGGCGUAGAAAAUACAGCCAAAGUCAUUGCUGCUGCACUUUUCCCGAGCUUUCUGAAGAAAUUGUCGAUAAGUUGCUUGCUCGAGUCAGAAAAAUCCCGGAAACUUGGGUCAAAGUAGCUCCGGCAAGCAGCAGCAGCAUCAUCGAGGACUAGGCGGCGGACCACCCGGAUCAUCAAGGACCAGCGGGACAUCGGUGGCAGCGGCGGACUAGGAGGAGGACCAGGACCAGAGAACAAGGACGAGGACCAGGAGCAGGACCAGAGGACAUCGCGGGAUCAUGGGUAAGUACCUCUCUUUGAGAGUACAUAAUAUAAAGUAUGUCAAUUAUCGUUUCGACGAUGCUUGACAUGCAAGGGGUGCUCUUGUUGUUGAUGUUUUUUUUGUUGCUGGAAACGAAAACGACAUCAACAACAAGAUGGAGCCUCGAAACAGCUAGGGCAUUAGGAAAGUGUACGUGGGAUCUCUUAGUGCCAAAGCCCAGGGCACCCCACGUAUGCGAAGGGAUGGAGUCGGUAGGGCCCGCCAACGCCCGCUCUAUCUCGAACGUAGCUUAGGAGGUUAAGAGGUGUUGCGGCGGGGAUGACAGGGCAGCGCCGGUUGGAACCAUUAGGGUUCCUCCUGGGAUAAGAAGUUUGGUGAUCAGGCCAGGCGAUUCUUGAAAUCACUGCCUAUAACCAUCGAAUUCUUAUCACCGGAGUAACGCCAGCCAAUCAUCGUCACGCGACAACGAUCUUGUAGAUAGGUCUCGUGAGACAAGAUCGGCCUCAUCGAACAACGAUUAGGUCUCAAAGUAGGGUGCGUCUACGCGAAGGUAACACAGCCGACGUUGCUUUUCACGUAGAUCCUUUGUAGGUUCGGUUGGUUACGGGCAGGUAGACAAUUUAUAGUAAUCAUCAUCUAUCAGUGUCAUUUCGUUUCUCGCGUCCGGGUAGGUAGGUAGGGUGGCUCUCAAAGGAAUAUACGUAUUAACGCUUAAUAAUAAUAAUACAGUGCGUCAAUACGAAUAUUCCACGUACCUAUCACCGACGUCCUCGUCGUGAGAGCUGGUAACGACAUGUUUGAAUGUAUCUUGUCGGCUAACGGUGAAAAUUUUUGAAUAUCCGGAAAAUUUGUCGGAAAAUGAAGAAACAUUUAUACUUUUUCUCUCUUUUUAAUUGAGUGAAGCAAUUUGGGCGG